GACAGAGGGGGCAAGCGUUGCUCGGAAUUACUGGGCGUAAAGGGCGCGUAGGCGGCCAGAUAAGUCCGGUGUGAAAGCCACAGGCUCAACCUGUGAAUGCCGCUGGAAACUGUCUGGCUAGAGUCCGGGAGGGGCGAGUGGAAUUCCUGGUGUAGCGGUGAAAUGCGCAGAUAUCAGGAGGAACACCAAUGGCGAAGGCAGCUCGCUGGAACGGAACUGACGCUGAGGCGCGAAAGCGUGGGGAGCGAACAGG
rnacentral:rRNA from 1 species